CGCGCAGGCGGUCGUACAAGUCGAAUGUGAAAGCCCCCGGCUCAACUGGGGAGGGUCAUUCGAUACUGUUCGACUCGAAGGCAGGAGAGGGAAGCGGAAUUCCCGGUGUAGUGGUGAAAUGCGUAGAUAUCGGGAGGAACACCAGUGGCGAAGGCGGCUUCCUGGCCUGUUCUUGACGCUGAGGCGCGAAAGCUAGGGGAGCAAACGGGAUUAGAUACCCCGGUAGUCCUAGCCGUAAACAAUGGACACUAGGUGUUGGCGGUAUCAACCCCGCCAGUGCCGUAGCUAACGCAUUAAGUGUCCCGCCUGGGGAGUACGGCCGCAAGGCUAAA
rnacentral:rRNA from 1 species